GCAGUCGAGCGGAUCUUUGGGAGCUUGCUCCCAAAGGUUAGCGGCGGACGGGUGAGUAACACGUGGGCAACCUGCCUGUAAGACUGGGAUAACUUCGGGAAACCGGAGCUAAUACCGGAUAAUAUAAGAGACCACAUGGUCUCCUAUUAAAAGAUGGCCUCGGCUAUCACUUACAGAUGGGCCCGCGGCGCAUUAGCUAGUUGGUGAGGUAACGGCUCACCAAGGCGACGAUGCGUAGCCGACCUGAGAGGGUGAUCGGCCACACUGGGACUGAGACACGGCCCAGACUCCUACGGGAGGCAGCAGUAGGGAAUCUUCCGCAAUGGACGAAAGUCUGACGGAGCAACGCCGCGUGAGCGAAGAAGGCCUUCGGGUCGUAAAGCUCUGUUGUUAGGGAAGAACAAGUAUCGUUCGAAUAGGGCGGUACCUUGACGGUACCUAACCAGAAAGCCACGGCUAACUACGUGCCAGCAGCCGCGGUAAUACGUAGGUGGCAAGCGUUAUCCGGAAUUAUUGGGCGUAAAGCGCGCGCAGGCGGUCCUUUAAGUCUGAUGUGAAAGCCCACGGCUCAACCGUGGAGGGUCAUUGGAAACUGGGGGACUUGAGUGCAGAAGAGGAGAGCGGAAUUCCACGUGUAGCGGUGAAAUGCGUAGAGAUGUGGAGGAACACCAGUGGCGAAGGCGGCUCUCUGGUCUGUAACUGACGCUGAGGCGCGAAAGCGUGGGGAGCGAACAGGAUUAGAUACCCUGGUAGUCCACGCCGUAAACGAUGAGUGCUAAG
rnacentral:rRNA from 1 species